CCUACGGGAGGCAGCAGUGGGGAAUAUUGGACAAUGGGGGAAACCCUGAUCCAGCGACGCCGCGUGAGUGAAGAAGUAUUUCGGUACGUAAAGCUCUAUCAGCAGGAAAGAAAAUGACGGUACCUGACUAAGAAGCCCCGGCUAACUACGUGCCAGCAGCCGCGGUAAUACGUAGGGGGCAAGCGUUAUCCGGAUUUACUGGGUGGAAAGGGAGCGUAGACGGCAGUGCAAGUCUGGCGUGAAAUGCCGGGGCCCAACCCCGGAACUGCUCCUGAAACUGGGAAGCUGGAGUGCAGGAGAGGUAAGCAGAAUGCCUGGUGUAGCGGUGAAAUGCGUAGAUAUCAGGAGGAACACCGGCGGCGAAGGCGGCUUACUGGACUGUAACUGACGUUGAGGCUCGAAGGCGUGGGGAGCAAACAGGAUUAGAUACCCGAGUAGUC
rnacentral:rRNA from 1 species